rnacentral:rRNA from 1 species
UACCUGGUUGAUCCUGCCAGUAAUCAUAUGCUUGUCUCAAAGAUUAAGCCAUGCAUGUCUAAGUACAUGCCGAAAUAAGGCGAAACCGCGAAUGGCUCAUUAAAUCAGUUAUGGUUCCUUAGAUUGUUUCUUCCUACUUGGAUAACUGUGGCAAUUCUAGAGCUAAUACAUGCAGUGAGCCCUUGUGUCCUUUUUGGCCAGCGGGUGCUUUUAUUAGACCAAGAUCGAUCGGGCUUCGGCCCGCAUUGUGUGGUGACUCUGGAUAACUUUGUGCUGAUCGCAUGGCCACGAGCCGGCGACGUUUCUUUCAAGUGUCUGCCUUAUCAACUUUCGAUGGUAGGUUACUUGCUUACCAUGGUUGUUACGGGUAACGGAGAAUCAGGGUUCGAUUUCGGAGAGGGAGCCUGAGAAACGGCUACCACAUCCAAGGAAGGCAGCAGGCGCACAAAUUACCCACUCCCGGCACGGGGAGGUAGUCACGAAAAAUAACAAUACGGGACUCUUUUGAGGCCCCCGUAAUUGAAAUGAGUACACUCUAAAUCCUUUAACGAGGAUCAAUUGGAGGGCAAGUCUGGUGCCAGCAGCCGCGGUAAUUCCAGCUCCAAUAGCGUAUACUAAAGCUGCUGCGGUUAAAAAGCUCGUAGUUGGAUCUCAGUUCCAGACGAGUAGUGCAUCUACCCGAUGCGACUGCUCGGACUGAACAUCAUGCCGGUCGUUUCUUGGUGCACUUCAUUGUGUGCCUCGAGAUGGCCGGUGCUUUUACUUUGAAAAAAUUAGAGUGCUCAACGCAGGCGAGUCGCCUGAAUAUUCCUUGCAUGGAAUAAUAGAACAAGACCUCGUUUCUGUUCUCUUGGUUUUUGGAAUACGAGGUAAUGAUUAAGAGGGACAGACGGGGGCAUUCGUAUUGCGGCGCUAGAGGUGAAAUUCUUGGACCGUCGCAAGACGAACUACUGCGAAAGCAUUUGCCAAGAAUGUUUUCUUUGAUCAAGAACGAAAGUUAGAGGUUCGAAGGCGAUCAGAUACCGCCCUAAUUCUAACCAUAAACGAUGCCAACCAGCGAUCCGCCUGAGUUACUCAAAUGACUCGGCGGGCAGCUUCCGGGAAACCAAAGUAUUUGGGUUCCAGGGGAAGUAUGGUUGUAAAGCUGAAACUUAAAGGAAUUGACGGAAGGGCACCACCAGGAGUGGAGCCUGCGGCUUAAUUUGACUCAACACGGGAAAACUUACCCGGCCCGGACACUGGGAGGAUUGACAGAUUGAGAGCUGUUUCUUGAUUCGGUGGAUGGUGGUGCAUGGCCGUUCUUAGUUGGUGGAGCGAUUUGUCUGGUUAAUUCCGAUAACGAACGAGACUCUAGCCUAUUAAAUAGGUGCGGGGUUCCCAGCACCUUACAACCUUCUUAGAGGGACAAGCGGCUCCUAGCCGCACGAAACAGAGCAAUAACAGGUCUGUGAUGCCCUUAGAUGUCCGGGGCCGCACGCGCGCUACACUGAAGGAGGCAGCGUGUUUUUCCCUGUCUGAAAAGACUGGGUAACCCGUGGAACUUCCUUCGUGAUUGGGAUAGGGGCUUGCAAUUGUUCCCCUUGAACGAGGAAUUCCCGGUAAGCGCGAGUCAUAAGCUCGCGUUGAUUACGUCCCUGCCCUUUGUACACACCGCCCGUCGCUACUACCGAUUGAAUGAUUUAGUGAGGUCUUCGGACCGAUGUCCGGCGCGGCCUUUCGGUUGCGCCGGUCUGUUGGAAAGAUGACCAAACUUGAUCAUUUAGAGGAAGUAAAAGUCGUAACAAGGUUUCCGUAGGUGAACCUGCGGAAGGAUCAUUA